AUUGAACGCUGGCGGCAUGCUUUACACAUGCAAGUCGAACGGUAACAGGCCGCAAGGUGCUGACGAGUGGCGAACGGGUGAGUAAUGCAUCGGAACGAGCCCAGUCGUGGGGGAUAACUAUCCGAAAGGAUAGCUAAUACCGCAUACGAUCUGCGGAUGAAAGCGGGGGACCUUCGGGCCCCGCGCGAUUGGAGCGGCCGAUGUCAGAUUAGGUAGUUGGUGGGGUAAAGGCUCACCAAGCCAACGAUCUGUAGCUGGUCUGAGAGGACGACCAGCCACACUGGGACUGAGACACGGCCCAGACUCCGACGGGAGGCAGCAGUGGGGAAUUUUGGACAAUGGGCGCAAGCCUGAUCCAGCAAUGCCGCGUGCAGGAAGAAGGCCUUCGGGUUGUAAACUGCUUUUGUACGGAACGAAACGGCUCUGGUUAAUACCUGGGGCUAAUGACGGUACCGUAAGAAUAAGCACCGGCUAACUACGUGCCAGCAGCCGCCGUAA
rnacentral:rRNA from 1 species